rnacentral:rRNA from 1 species
GGGUUAGUAGGUUGGUCAUGCCUCUGGUAUGUACUGGUCUCACUGAUUCCUCCUUCCCGAUGAGCCGUAUUGCCAUUAAUUUGGUGUUGUGGGGAAUCAGGACUGUUACUUUGAAAAAAUUAGAGUGUUUAAAGCAGGCUCACGCUUGAAUACAUUAGCAUGGAAUGAUGAAAUAGGACGUUUGAUUCUAUUUUGUCGGUUUCUAGGAUCGACGUA